CCCUUAGAUGUUCUGGGCCGCACGCGCGCUACACUGACGAAUGCAACGAGCUUAUAACCUUGGCCGAAAGGUCUGGGUAAUCUCCAAAUUUCGUCGUGAUGGGGACAGAUUAUUGCAAUUAUUAAUCUUCAACGAGGAAUGCCUAGUAAGCGCAAGUCAUCAGCUUGCGUUGAUUACGUCCCUGCCCUUUGUACACACCGCCCGUCGCUCCUACCGAUUGAAUGGUCCGGUGAAGCGUUCGGACCGUGGCCUUUGGACGGUUCGCCGUCUGUUGGCUGCGGGAAGUUCGUUAAACCUUAUCAUUUAGAGGAAGGUGAAGUCGUANCA
rnacentral:rRNA from 1 species